rnacentral:rRNA from 2 species
GUAGGUCCCGAGCGUUGUCCGGAUUUAUUGGGCGUAAAGCGAGCGCAGGCGGUUUGAUAAGUCUGAAGUUAAAGGCUGUGGCUCAACCAUAGUUCGCUUUGGAAACUGUCAAACUUGAGUGCAGAAGGGGAGAGUGGAAUUCCAUGUGUAGCGGUGAAAUGCGUAGAUAUAUGGAGGAACACCGGUGGCGAAAGCGGCUCUCUGGUCUGUAACUGACGCUGAGGCUCGAAAGCGUGGGGAGCGAACAGGAUUAGAUACCCUGGUAGUCCACGCCGUAAACGAUGAGUGCUAGGUGUUGGAUCCUUUCCGGGAUUCAGUGCCGCAGCUAACGCAUUAAGCACUCCGCCUGGGGAGUACGACCGCAAGGUUG